GGGCCCGCACAAGCGGUGGAGCAUGUGGUUUAAUUCGACGCAACGCGAAGAACCUUACCAGGUCUUGACAUCCUAGAAACUUAGCAGAGAUGCUUUGGUGCCUUCGGGAAUCUAGUGACAGGUGCUGCAUGGCUGUCGUCAGCUCGUGUCGUGAGAUGUUGGGUUAAGUCCCGUAACGAGCGCAACCCUUGUCCUUAGUUGCCAGCACGUAAUGGUGGGAACUCAUGGGAUACUGCCGGGGUCAACUCGGAGGAAGGUGGGGAUGACGUCAAAUCAUCAUGCCCCUUAUGUCUUGGGCUUCACGCAUGCUACAAUGGCCGGUACAGAGGGCUGCAAUACCGCAAGGUGGAGCGAAUCCCAAAAAGCCGGUCUCAGUUCGGAUUGAGGUCUGCAACUCGACCUCAUG
rnacentral:rRNA from 1 species